rnacentral:rRNA from 1 species
UACGUAGGGGGCAAGCGUUGUCCGGAUUUAUUGGGCGUAAAGAGCGUGUAGGCGGCUAGGUAGGUCCGUUGUGAAAACUCGAGGCUCAACCUCGAGACGCCGGUGGAAACCAUCUAGCUAGAGUCCGGAAGAGGAGAGUGGAAUUCCUGGUGUAGCGGUGAAAUGCGCAGAUAUCAGGAAGAACACCCGUGGCUAAGGCGGUUCUCUAGUACGGUACUGACGCUGAGACGCGAAAGCGUGGGGAGCGAACAGG